GGGCUGGAAGAGGAGCAGCCGGGACUAGAACCGGCGCCCAUAUGGGAUGCUGGUGCCGCAGGCGGAGGAUUAACCUACUGCGCCAUUGCGCCAGCCCCUCAAUAACCUCUUACAAGCCUCAAUUCCUAAUGCUAUCAGAAUUUAAAUAAUAGCACUGGCUACAUUCAAAUCGUCCUUACGUAUUUUCCUCUGGAAGGAGGAGAGAACUUUCACUUUGCUUAUGGCCUUGUCUAAAUACUGAAGGAGUUUGUGGAUUCAAAAGGCUCCUAUAGCCUUGGUAGCUCAUGUCAAAAGCCUCAUGUGAUCAGUGACAUCAUACAUAAGAGUGUUAAUUGUUAAAUUAACAACAGGAGUCACAGUGCACUAACUUCCCAGGCAGGAUCUCUGUCCUCAAAGAGUUGCAUUAUGAGAGUUAAUAGUAAAACUUGUUCUCAAAGAUUUACUUUGUAUUAGUGUAUUAAGUGGAGGAUAUUCUUAUGUCUCAUAAGUUAUAGUUUCAUCUAAGUGCUGGCAAAAGAUGUAUCAUUCUUGGGUUCUUCUUUAUUUUAAAAAAUAUGUUUAUUUAUUUAUUUAUUUGAAAAGUAGAGUUACAGACAGUGAGAGGGAGAGACAGAGAGAAAGGUCUUCCUUUCGUUGAUUCACUUCCCAGAUGGCCACAACAGCCAGAGCUGUGCGUCUUCCUGGUCUCCCAUGCGGAUGCAGGGGCCCAAGCACUUGUUCCAUCUUACACUGCUUUCCCAGGCCAUAGCAUAGAGCUGGAUUGGAAAAGGGGCAGCUGUGACCUGAACUCACGCCCAUGUAGGAUGCCGGCACCACAGGUGGAGGAUUAACCUACUGUGCCACGGUGCCAGCCCCUCUUGGGCUCUUCUUUAAAGUUAAUUAAGGAGGCUGGUGCUGUGGCAUAGCGGAUAAAGCCACUACCUGCAGUGUCAGCAUCCCAUAAAAGUCCAGUUCAAGUCCCAGCUGCUCCACUUCUAAUGCAGUUCUCUGCUAUGGCCUGGGAAAGCAACGGAAGAUGGCCCAAGUCCUUGGGCCCCUGCACCCAUGUGGGAGACCCAGAAGAAACUGUUAGUUCCUGGCUUUGUAUUGGCCCAGCUCUGCCGGUUGAGACCAUUUAGGGAGUAAACCUGCAGAUGGAAGACUUUCUCUCUCUCUCCUCACCUCCCUCUCUCUGAAACUCUGCCUUUCAAAUAAAUAAAUCAAUCUUCUAAAAAGAUUUUUAAAAAUAAAGUUAAGUUUCUAAAAAAAAAAAAAACACUUAAAAAAAGAAGUGAAAUCAACUUUGAGACGCAAUGACAUUGAAUAGCCCUUGACUCAACUGUUGAGGAAUAUUUUUUUAUUCACACAAUUUGUUGAACCCUUUACUUAGUAUAAAGUUAAUCUUCUGUGUAUAAAGUUAACUGAAAAUAGAUCAUAGUAAAAAAUAAGACUGGGAAUAGGAGAGGAGGAGGAAGAGUAAUGGGAUUGUGGGUGGAAGAGUAGGUACAGUGGGAAGAAUCACUGUGUUCCUAAAGUUGUUUUUAAGAAAUGCAAGAAGUUUGUAUUACUUAAAUAAAAGAUUUCUUUGGGGAAAAAUAUGAACUGAAGAACCGUGGGAUAUGUUAGUGUAAUGCUUUCUUGGGAGGGACUGCCCUUUGUAGCUACAUUAUAUCUUUACUUCUUUUUUGACUUUAAAAAUGUUUCUUUAAAAAUAAAAUAAUGGUGACAGAAAAGAAAAAAACAUUUUCACUAGAGACACCUGGAUCACAAGCAUCCCUCAUCUACCCCUUCUUUGGGGGACAUUGUAAUGUAUGCUACGGGACGGUUUAAUCAAUGAUCAUUUUGUAAGCAUUUAUUAACACCUUUUUUUUAAUUGUCCAAGUCAACUAGGGAUUAUGAAGAUAAAAUGGAAUAACUAGUGUUCUAUAAUUUGAGUCUUCCAAUAUCUUCUUCCUCUAGCAAUUUCAUGGACAUCCAGCGAAACAUACAGUUCAUCCUCCUCCAACACAGGCUCAACUCUUCAUGGUGAUGUCUUCACCAGCACAAGCAGAACAUUUUCGGAAGUUCCCACAACUGCCGGGGGAUCUACUAAAAAUAAUCGUAUCUAUAUCACUGGUAUUGAGCUUGGUAGACCUGAAGAUGGGAUAUCCUGGCCGGUGAUCGUUGCAUUUUUGCUCUUUUCUGUGUGAUAUUGUUUGGUCUUGGAAUAAGAAAAUGGUGUCAAUACCAAAAGGAAAUCAUGGAAAGACCCCCACCUUUCAAGCCACCUCCACCUCCAAUCAAGUACACCUGCAUUCAAGAGCCCACUGGAAGUGAUCUGCCUUAUCAGGAGAUGGAGACACUCUAGUCCUUUGAGACUUUGUCAUAUAGCGAAAUUCUCCUGGAAUACUAUCGAGAAGGUAGAUGUUAUGCUUUAUGAAUAUAAUUGCCCUCCCAGCCAAGCCUCUGCUGCAGAUGGGAUGCAUGUC